rnacentral:rRNA from 1 species
UACGUAGGGGGCUAGCGUUGUCCGGAAUCAUUGGGCGUAAAGCGCGUGUAGGCGGUCCGGUAAGUCCGCUGUGAAAGUCGGGGGCUCAACCCUCGGAUGCCGGUGGAUACUGUCGGGCUUGAGUACGGAAGAGGCGAGUGGAAUUCCUGGUGUAGCGGUGAAAUGCGCAGAUAUCAGGAAGAACACCCGUGGCGAAAGCGGCUCUCUGGGACGGUACUGACGCUGAGGAGCGAAAGCGUGGGGAGCAAACAGG